AAAGUAGGGGAUCGUAAGACCUUGCGCUUUUGGAGUGGCCGAUGCCUGAUUAGCUAGUUGGUGAGGUAAGGGCCUACCAAGGCAACGAUCAGUAGUUGGUCUGAGAGGACGACCAACCACACUGGGACUGAGACACGGCCCAGACUCCUACGGGAGGCAGCAGUGGGGAAUUUUGGACAAUGGGCGAAAGCCUGAUCCAGCAAUGCCGCGUGAGUGAAGAAGGCCUUCGGGUUGUAAAGCUCUUUCAGUCGAGAAGAAAAGGUUGUGACUAAUAAUCACAACUUAUGACGGUACCGACAGAAGAAGCACCGGCUAACUACGUGCCAGCAGCCGCGGUAAUACGUAGGGUGCGAGCGUUAAUCGGAAUUACUGGGCGUAAAGGGUGCGCAGGCGGCUUUGUAAGUCAGAUGUGAAAUCCCCGGGCUUAACCUGGGAAUUGCGUUUGAAACUACAAAGCUAGA
rnacentral:rRNA from 1 species